ensembl:lncRNA LINC01470 long intergenic non-protein coding RNA 1470
UUUCCAAAGUGUGGUGUGAAGAGUACUGCUCCUGUAAAUUUAACGAAAUUUUCCAUGGGCAAGAAAAAAGGAACUCCUGAGAACUGAGAAAUGACUGUUUAAUGAACAAAGAGAGAAGUGACAAUGAGACUGCCCUGUCCAGAGACUCCCAAAUAAAGAAGGAGAAUAUCCAUCAAUAGCUGUUCCCCUCAUCAAUGGAGUCUGAAUAAGUGCAUUUUUGUGGAUCAAACAAAAGCUCUCAGAAGGAGAAACUCUGGUAGAAGGAGGUAGUCAUACCUUUAUAUUUACCUUGUAAGCUUUUGCAACUCCGUGGUGCUACUUCGACAGCCUCAUCUUCUGUUUUCCAACAUGAAAUUAUUCCUGUGA